rnacentral:tmRNA from 1 species
GGGGCCGACUUGGUUUCGACGUGGGUUACAAAACCUGAGGUGCAUGCCGAGGAUGUCGCUAGCCUCGUAAAAAAUGCGGCAAGCCAAUAGUUGCCAACGACGACAACUACGCUCUGGCCGCUUAACCCGGCCAGCCUCUGGCCCGGAACGUGUUCGUGAAGUCCGGGGUUCGCAAGAACAUCCAGGGGUCGACCUAGCACGAAAUCGCGCUAACGCCUGCCCUAGGCCGCAGCGUUAAAUCCCCAAGGGACCGCCGCUCAAUACCCUGCCCGUCGGGUUGCGAUCGGUUAAAUCAAAGACGAGGCUAAGCAUGUAGUACCAAGGGCGGCGGACUUGCGGACGCGGGUUCGAUUCCCGCCGGCUCCACCA